UACCACUUACAGAUGGGCCCGCGGUGCAUUAGGUAGUUGGGGAGGUAACGGCUCACCAAGGCGAAGAUUGGUAACCGACUUGAGAGGGUGAUCGGCCACACUGAGUCUGAGACACGGCCCAGACUCGUACGGGAGGCAGCAGUAGGGAAUCUUCCGCAAUGGACGAAAGUUUGACGGAGCAACGCCGCGUGAGUGAAGAAGGUUUU
rnacentral:rRNA from 1 species